rnacentral:rRNA from 1 species
AUGCAAGUCGAGCGGGGGAAGGUAGCUUGCUACUGGACCUAGCGGCGGACGGGUGAGUAAUGCUUAGGAAUCUGCCUAUUAGUGGGGGACAACAUCUCGAAAGGGAUGCUAAUACCGCAUACGUCCUACGGGAGAAAGCAGGGGAUCUUCGGACCUUGCGCUAAUAGAUGAGCCUAAGUCGGAUUAGCUAGUUGGUGGGGUAAAGGCCUACCAAGGCGACGAUCUGUAGCGGGUCUGAGAGGAUGAUCCGCCACACUGGGACUGAGACACGGCCCAGACUCCUACGGGAGGCAGCAGUGGGGAAUAUUGGACAAUGGGGGGAACCCUGAUCCAGCCAUGCCGCGUGUGUGAAGAAGGCCUUAUGGUUGUAAAGCACUUUAAGCGAGGAGGAGGCUACUUUAGUUAAUACCUAGAGAUAGUGGACGUUACUCGCAGAAUAAGCACCGGCUAACUCUGUGCCAGCAGCCGCGGUAAUACAGAGGGUGCGAGCGUUAAUCGGAUUUACUGGGCGUAAAGCGUGCGUAGGCGGCUUAUUAAGUCGGAUGUGAAAUCCCCGAGCUUAACUUG